rnacentral:lncRNA from 10 species
AGAGCCGCGGCAGAGGCAGAGGAGGGAGCUAGGAGGUGAGACCCGCUCCACCCUGCUCGCCUAGGCUCGGCGGAGGCUAAGAGCAGGGCAGCCUCCUCUGCCCGGCGCCCGCUGAGCCCCGGCAUCUGGAACUCAGGGCCCUGGCGCUCCAGGGGCGGGAACUGGCCGGGAGGACCGCGCGGGAGAGCACGGAUGGGCACCCUGGGCUCGAUCUGCGGAGGUGCUGGCGGCGGCGGCGGCCGGGAGGCUGCGUGGAAGAGGCGGCGACAGCAGCCAGGAGGCGGGACCAAAAAGAAGAAUGUACUUCAUCUGGUUGGGCUGGAUUCCCUCUGAUAAGCCUUCCCAGUUGACUGAAAGAUGAGGCUAGGCUCUAGCAAGUUGAAGUCAAACCAGCUCCUUCAAGAAGCUUUGAGCAGAAUGAAGUGGGGAGGACCCAGCUUCCAGCCCAGGAAGCCCACUGUACCUGGAGCCAUCUGGGAUAAGACUUUGACCCAUGACUCCCAUAUCCACAGCCUGUCCAUCCUAGCCCAUCCCAGUUUAUCCUGUAUCAUUUGAGCUGGGAUUCCCACAUCCUCUGAGUUGGAAGUCCCAUCUCAAGUCUUCAAUAAAGACUCUUGAAUAUUGAAUCACAUUAA